GUAGGUGGCAAGCGUUGUCCGGAAUUAUUGGGCGUAAAGCGCGCGCAGGGCGGUCCUUUAAGUCUGAUGUGAAAGCCCACGGCUCAACCGUGGAGGGUCAUUGGAAACUGGGGGACUUGAGUACAGAAGAGGAAAGCGGAAUUCCAAGUGUAGCGGUGAAAUGCGUAGAGAUUUGGAGGAACACCAGUGGCGAAGGCGGCUUUCUGGUCUGUAACUGACGCUGAGGCGCGAAAGCGUGGGGAGCAAACAGGAUUAGGUACCCUGGUAGUCCACGCCGUAAACGAUGAGUGCUAAGUGUUAGGGGGUUUCCGCCCCUUAGUGCUGCAGCUAACGCAUUAAGCACUCCGCCUGGGGAGUACGGCCGCAAAGGCUG
rnacentral:rRNA from 1 species